rnacentral:rRNA from 1 species
ACGUAGGUGGCGAGCGUUGUCCGGAAUUAUUGGGCGUAAAGCGCGCGCAGGUGAUUAUACAAGUCUCAUUUAAAAGUGCUGAGCUCAACUCAGUGAUGGGUGAGAAACUGUAUGACUUGAGUGCAGGAGGGGUAGGCGGAAUUCCUAGUGUAGCGCUGAAUUGCGUAGAACUUAGACGGAACGCCAGUGGCGAAGGCAGCCUACUGGAUGGCAACCAACACUGGGUCGCGAAAUCCACGAGAGCAAACGG